rnacentral:rRNA from 1 species
UACGGGGGGGGCAAGCGUUGUUCGGAAUUACUGGGCGUAAAGCGUGCGUAGGCGGGUUGACAAGUCUUUUGUUAAAGCCCACGGCUCAACCGCGGAAUUGCGGUAGAAACUGUCUGUCUUGAGUACGGGAGAGGAGGGGGGAAUUCCCAGUGUAGCGGUGAAAUGCGUAGAUAUUGGGAAGAACACCGGUGGCGAAGGCGGCUAUCUGGGCCGGUACUGACACUGAGGGGCGAAAGCUAGGGGAGCAAACGGG